rnacentral:rRNA from 2 species
GAGCUAUCUGCAGUCGAGCGAACUGAUUAGAAGCUUGCUUCUAUGACGUUAGCGGCGGACGGGUGAGUAACACGUGGGCAACCUGCCUGUAAGACUGGGAUAACUUCGGGAAACCGGAGCUAAUACCGGAUAGGAUCUUCUCCUUCAUGGGAGAUGAUUGAAAGGUGGUUUCGGCUGUCACUUAUGGAUGGGCCCGCGGCGCAUUAGCUAGUUGGUGAGGUAACGGCUCACCAAGGCAACGAUGCAUAGCCGACCUGAGAGGGUGAUCGGCCACACUGGGACUGAGACACGGCCCAGACUCCUACGGGAGGCAGCAGUAGGGAAUCUUCCGCAAUGGACGAAAGUCUGACGGAGCAACGCCGCGUGAGUGAUGAAGGCUUUCGGGUCGUAAAACUCUGUUGUUAGGGAAGAACAAGUGCUAGAGGAACUGCUCGGACCUUGGCGGGACCUAACCCAAAAGCCCCGGGUAAAUUCCGGCCCACCACCCGGGGAAAUCCUAAGGGGGAAGGGUUUUCCGGAAUUUUUGGGGGUAAAGGGCCCCCAGGGGGUUUUUUAAAUUUGAAUGGAAAACCCCCGGGUUCACCGGGGAAGGGCCUUGGAAACUGGGGAAAUUGGAUGGCAAAAAAAGAAAGGGAAUUCCCCGGUGAAGCGUGAAAUGCGUAAAAUGUGGAGGAAACCCAGUGCCAAGGGGACUUUUUGUCCUGAACUGAACUUAAGGCGCAAGCCGUGGGAAGAAAAAGAUUAGAUACCCUGGUAGUCCCCCCGUAACGAUGAUGCUAAUGUGUAGGAGGUUUCCCCCCUUUAAUGCUGCACUAACGGAUUAAGCACUCCCGCCUGGGGAGUACCGUCGGAGACUGAACUCUCAAAGAAUUGACGGGGGCCCGCACAAACGGUGGGAACCUGUGGUUUAAUUCGAGCACGCGGAAAACCUACAAGGCUUGAAUCCUCUGACAAUCUAAGAUAGAGCUCUCUCGGGCAGAUACAGUGGUCAGUGUCUCACUCGGUCUGAAUGUGCUAGUCCGCACAGGCACGUGACUAUGCUACAUAGUGGCACUUAGUACUGCGGUACACGGAGCA